rnacentral:rRNA from 1 species
GAUGAACGCUGGCGGCGUGCUUAACACAUGCAAGUCGAACGAAGCACUUUGAAACAAUCCCUCGGGUGCGUUUCUUUGUGACUUAGUGGCGGACGGGUGAGUAACGCGUGAGCAAUCUGCCCUUCAGUGGGGGACAACGGUUGGAAACGACCGCUAAUACCGCAUAACGUAGUGAGAUCGCAUGGUACAGUGUGAAAAGAUUUAUCAGCAUGAGAUGGACCCGCGUCUGAUUAGCUAGUUGGUGAGGUAACGGCUCACCAAGGCGACGAUCAGUAGCCGACUUGAGAGAGUGAUCGGCCACAUUGGGACUGAGACACGGCCCAAACGUCCUACGGGAGCAGCAGUGGGGAAUAUUGCACAAUGGGGGAAACCCUGAUGCAGCAACG